CAAAACAAUUUUAGCCACAUAAAUAAAUCGGUAAAAACUGUAAUACUCGACAUUUUCAAAUGGUUAUAAAUAACUUAAAAAAGGUCAAAUUAUCUAUUAUUACAGAUAAUAGGAAAAUCUUGGGUCUACGAAAUUUAAACAAAAAAUGAAUAUCGAAAAUAAUAGAAACCAUUAUUGCAUAAACUAUCACGUUUUCUCCAAUAUCAAAAAACUACAAGGAAAUAAAUAAAAAAAAUUGUUUUAACGCAUCGGAACGAGACGAAAUAUUCUGGUAAAAAAGUUUUUUACAGACAGACAAAAUACAAAGCACACAUCAUAUUUAUAGUAAAUCCAAUUUACGCAUUCCUCGUUACGCUCAGCAUAAUAUAUUUAAUGAACUAAACUAGGUAUAAUAAAUCAUAUAAAAUCGAAAAAUUACUAAUUGUAUAAGAAUUAUAUAUACUGUAUGCGUAGGUACUUAAAUAUUUCUUUGGUCUCGGACAAAUUUUUUUUUUUUUUUUCUUAACUAUUUCAUCUCGUGCAAUAUUUGUUUAAACUUUAUUUGUCGAUCGAAAUGACAUAGGUGUGUGCACUUUCAAAAUUAGCGUUUUUGCGUUUGAACAAAAUUCAAUUUCCUCGUAUCGAAUAUUGU